rnacentral:rRNA from 1 species
UUUGGACCUGAUAUCAGCAAGAUUACCCGCUGAACUUAAGCAUAUCAGAAACCGAC